rnacentral:rRNA from 1 species
GACGAACGCUGGCGGCGUGCCUAAUACAUGCAAGUUGAGCGCUGAAGGUUGGUACUUGUACCAACUGGAUGAGCAGCGAACGGGUGAGUAACGCGUGGGGAAUCUGCCUUUGAGCGGGGGACAACAUUUGGAAACGAAUGCUAAUACCGCAUAAAAACUUUAAACACAAGUUUUAAGUUUGAAAGAUGCAAUUGCAUCACUCAAAGAUGAUCCCGCGUUGUAUUAGCUAGUUGGUGAGGUAAAGGCUCACCAAGGCGAUGAUACAUAGCCGACCUGAGAGGGAGAUCGGCCACAAUGGGACUGAGGAACGGCCCAAACUCCUACGGGAGGCAGCAGUAGGGAAUCUUCGGAAAUGGACGAAAGUCUGACCGAGCAACGCCGCGUGAGUGGAGAAGGUUUUCGGAUCGUAAAACUCUGUUGGUAGAGAAGAAAGUUGAUGAGGGUGGAAAGCUCAUCAAGUGACGGUAACUACACAGAAAGGAACGGCUAACUACGUG